rnacentral:lncRNA from 10 species
UAGUCUUGGCCCGGGAGCCUGUGUCCUCCAGGUAGCUGUGCUGUGGGGAGCUGGAGAGGACUGAAGAGCUGAGGAGGGGAAAUGCAGAAAUGAUAAUGCCUCACAAGCUGGUUGUACAGAUUGAAUAACAAUGUGAACAGAGCACCGAGUAUAAUCCCUGGAACAGCAAACCAGAGGUCCCGUCUGGCUGGCAUGAAUGGAAGGGCAAA